UGUUGCGGUUAAAAAGCUCGUAGUUGGAUUUUGGGCGCAGGCGGCCGGUCCGUCGCAAGGCGUGUACUGGACGUCCUGGCCUUCCCUCCGGUUCUCCGCCGGUGCUCUUGACUGAGUGUCGGCGGCGGCCGGAACGUUUACUUUGAAAAAAUUAGAGUGUUCAAAGCAGGCUCUCGAGCCUGGAUAAUGGUGCAUGGAAUAAUGGAAUAGGACCUCGGUUCUAUUUUGUUGGUUUUCGGAGCGCGAGGUAAUGAUUAAGAGGGACAGACGGGGGCAUUCGUACUGUGCCGUUAGAGGUGAAAUUCUUGGAUCGGCGCAAGACGAACGACUGCGAAAGCAUUUGCCAAGAAUGUUUUCUUUAAUCAAGAGCGAAAGUCAGAGGUUCGAAGACGAUCAGAUACCGUCCUAGUUCUGACUAUAAACGAUGCCAACUAGCGAUCGGGGGGCGUUACAUUGACGACCCCUCCGGCAGCUUACGGGAAACCAAAGUCUUUGGGUUCCGGGGGAAGUAUGGUUGCAAAGCUGAAACUUAAAGGAAUUGACGGAAGGGCACCACCAGGAGUGGAGCCUGCGGCUUAAUUUGACUCAACACGGGAAAUCUCACCCGGCCCGGACACAGUGAGGAUUGGCAGAUUGAGAGCUCUUUCUUGAUUCUGUGGGUGGUGGUGCAUGGCCG
rnacentral:ncRNA from 1 species